rnacentral:lncRNA from 1 species
CCACUUAGCGCUGCAAAGCCUUAUCUUUUCUAUUACCCUUACUCGACUUGAAGACGAACUCCCUUAACAGACAGAGACAGAGAACCUAGCUCGAACGUUACUCACUCCCUAACAGAGACCCGAGGAAGUACACCUCACCUAGCCUCAAAGCAAGUACUUUCUUCUUUAAGAACUAUGGAUUGGAUUGGAUUCUUAAGUCAACUCACAACUCCUCUUCUCUUUCUACAAAUACAGAUCUGGGAUGCUACUAUACCGGCUUGGCACAGCUUCCUAGCCCGCCUGUCGAACAUCCGCUUGGCCCCUUGCCUAGGUACUCCAAAUAUCUUUCUUCCCUUGCCCGCCUACCUCUCUUGCUCCCGUUAGUGCUUCCUUGCUAGUUUCACACAGGACCCGGCACCAGUGGAUCUGAAGUAAACAAAGAAUUCUA